GACGAACGCUGGCGGCGUGCUUAACACAUGCAAGUCGAACGGAAAGGCCCGGCUUUGGUGCGCUGCUCGGGUGACGAACGGGGGAGUAACACGUGGGUACGGUGCACCUGCCUGAGGGGUAUCUUAAGGACAGUGGGGCUAAUCGCGGAUAGGAGCUCCCGCCGCUGGGUGGGGGUGGGAAAGUUUCGGUGGUUGGGGAUGGAAUAGCGGCUUAUGAGCUUGUUGGGUGGGUAGUGGCUGAGCAAGGCCAUGAAGGGUAGCCGGCCUGCGAGGGGGACCGGCCACACUGGGCUGGGGCUACGGCCCAGACUCGUAUGGGAGGCAGCAGUGGAGAAUAUUACACUAUGGGCGGAAGCCUGAUGCAGCAACGCCGCGUGCGGGAUGACGGCCAUCGGGUUGUAAUCCGCUGUCGCCUGUGCCGAAGCGUGAGUGACGGUACCGGGUAAAGAAGCACCGGCUAACUACGUG
rnacentral:rRNA from 1 species